CAUUCCAAUGACCAAUCUCUACUCCACCCACUCACUCACAUGUCCGUUUGCUAGUGGAGUUGAACAUGAAUGCUAUAUAAAAGACCGUGCAUGUACAAGCUAGUAUGACGAAGCCUCGUACCCUCCCAUUCCCUCUUUCUCACCAAGUUGAAAAAGAGGACAGCCCUGGACUAUACUAAGGGCAUGUACUGCCUCCGGGUCCCUCAUGCAUGCCCUCCUAAAUUAACGAGAUGGUUCCAGCCCGCCCCACUAAACCAGCCCCUAAAAAUGAAUCCCCGGCACCUCCACGCCCUUCUAAAUAAUGCGCCAAGCACUAUAAUAGGUUUUUCACCACUUUAUACAUGGUAGAGAGGUUGUCCUUGCAGAUUGUAACUACGGAUACACUGCAGUGCUAAUGUUGAGGUACUAUGUGGCUGAGGGUAUGAGGCUGUACUCUCAAGACCUGGAGGGUGGUCACACAGACAAGGAGAGUGCAGCUGGUAGAGCAGCACAUCCACAAAAUGCGUGAGUUUCCGUGCGUGGAAUACAAAAUUAAUGUGGAUAAGCUAGCCAAAUCCAUGAUAUUUUUGCAGCACACAUUUUUUAGCAGAUCUAUCUUGCUGUGAUGUUGCAUGGUGCAUGUGCGUGUGUGCAGGUGGACUUCUACAUCUCCCAGAACCAGGCUAAGUGUCCUCCCUCCUCCCCUCUGUGCUGAGACACUACAACACAGACACUACCCUCAACACAUCAACCUCCUGGAGACACUGCUCAGAGUAGAUUUUCCACAUAACAUCAAUCGUAUUUGUGUAAUUGUGCUGUGACUACAUGCAUUUGGGUGUGUUCAAUGUUGCUCUGUAUUUCUGGACCAAAAAGACAUAAUUAUGUGUGGAUCUGUUUGCCUUUGAAGAUGUAUAUGCAGGGAACAACUAGUCCUAUAUGCAGAGAAAGUUAAGGGAACAAUUAACACAGCUAUUCAUUCUAACACACAUCUUGAAUAAACGCCCAUCCCCUCU